GAGAGUGUAGCUCAGUGGUAGAGUGCAUGCUUAGCAUGCAUGAGGUCCUGGGUUCAGUCUCUGGUAUUUCCA
rnacentral:tRNA from 1 species